AUGAACGCUGGCGGCGUGCUUAACACAUGCAAGUCGAACGAGGUCCAACCUUCGGGUGAAGACCGAGUGGCGAACGGGUGAGUAACACGUGGGCAAUCUGCCCUCCACACUGGGAUAACCCCCGGAAACGGGAGCUAAUACCGGAUACUUCGGGAUGGUCGCAUGGCCGACCCGAGAAAGCUCCGGCGGUGGAGGAUGAGCCCGCGGCCCAUUAGCUUGUUGGCGGGGUAAUGGCCCACCAAGGCGACGAUGGGUAGCCGAGCUGAGAGGCUGAUCGGCCACACUGGGACUGAGACACGGCCCAGACUCCUACGGGAGGCAGCAGUGGGGAAUCUUGCGCAAUGGGCGAAAGCCUGACGCAGCAACGCCGCGUGCGGGAUGAAGGCUCUCGGGUCGUAAACCGCUUUCAGCAGGGAUGAAACUGACAGUACCUGCAGAAGAAGCCCCGGCUAAAUACGU
rnacentral:rRNA from 1 species